AUGAGGCAUCUCUCUCGGGCAGCACCAACUGAGACACUUGCCUCAAGUGCGGGAAGUUGUCUAUUCCCAUUUUGGAUUAUGCUGCUGAUGCUAUAGACACUCAGUGAGUGAUGCCGUAAUUGGAUUCUAUUCUAACAAAGUGAAUGACACGUGUUAUUCUUAAGUCAACAAUCCUUCUGUCAUGCAUUGGAUUGCAUUACAUCUCAUCCUAGGAUCCUAUGCAUGAAUGGAGGGGUUAUUGUUGAGGAUCAUAAUAUGUUUUGGAAAUUGUAAAAGUAAUAAAUAAACUUUUGUUUUUUUAAGGGUGUAAACGAGUUGACCUGAGCUCGGACUUAGCUCGAGUCAAGCUCGCGUCGAACCAUGGACGUAGCAUAGAGGGGGCGGCCAAUCCUUCGAUUUUUUCGCUCAGUAGUGGAGAGUAUGUAGUUUUCGUAUAGAAAUUUUUUGGUAUAUAUGCUUUCGACCUCCCGGUUUUAUAAAAUUUUUUGGGUAUAUCCUUGGUCCGAAAUCUCAAGCUUCGCCACUGUUUCGAACUAUAUUUUUAAAGUUUGAGGUUACCUUGUUAGUAGUUUUUUAAGUUCGAUCUUAAUUCGGGCUCCACUCUUUUUAAUAUAUUUAGUUAUAAGUUUUAUAUGUAACAUAUAUAUGUAUAACGGAAUUCUAUUAUAAUUUUGUUAUAUAAAUAUAUUAACUAAAGAUUACAUAAAUAAUAGGUUUGUUUAGUUUUGCGGGGCUACUCGAGCUCGAUAAUAGAAGCUCGAGCUCGGACUCAUUUACCAAACAAACUUGUUUUAAGGGUUGAGUUCAGGCUUGGGUUCUUUUAAGCUCAUUUCGGUUGGCCCAAAUGAAUCAAACAAUCGGAUCAACACACGAGCAUGAGAUAUUUGGGGGGACAAACCCGUGACUCGUUCUAUUGAAUCAAACCAACUUACAAGGAAAAUAGGACAAAUAAAAAUUGAAUCAAACGAACUUACAAGGAAAAUAG
rnacentral:lncRNA from 1 species